rnacentral:rRNA from 1 species
GAUGAACGCUAGCGAUAGGCUUAACACAUGCAAGUCGAGGGGCAGCACAAGGUAGCUUGCUAUCUGGGUGGCGACCGGCGCACGGGUGCGUAACGCGUAUGCAACUUGCCCUAUACAGGAGGAUAACCCGUCGAAAGACGGACUAAUACUGCGUAUGCUCACAACUUGGCAUCAAGUGGUGAGGAAAGAAAUUCGGUAUAGGAUAGGCAUGCGUCCCAUUAGCUUGUUGGUGAGGUAACGGCUCACCAAGGCAACGAUGGGUAGGGGAACUGAGAGGUUUAUCCCCCACACUGGUACUGAGACACGGACCAGACUCCUACGGGAGGCAGCAGUGAGGAAUAUUGGUCAAUGGGCGCGAGCCUGAACCAGCCAAGUCGCGUGAAGGAUGACUGUCUUAUGGAUUGUAAACUUCUUUUAGACGGGAAUAACAAGAGUCACGUGUGACUCCCUGCAUGUACCGCAUGAAUAAGCAUCGGCUAACUCCGUG